AACGAACGCUGGCGGCGUGCCUAACACAUGCAAGUCGAACGGGAAAACCCGCAAGGGUGAGUACAGUGGCGCACGGGUGCGUAACACGUGGGUAAUCUGCCCAGAAGCCCGGAAUAACUCCCCGAAAGGGGUGCUAAUGCCGGAUGAGACCACGGGGACUUCGGUUCCUGGGGGAAAAGGUGGCCUCUGUAUACAAGCUAUCACUUCUGUAUGAGCCCGCGGCCCAUCAGCUAGUUGGCGGGGUAAUGGCCCACAAAGGCUACGACGGGUAGCGGGUCUGAGAGGACGAUCAGCCACACUGGAACUGAGACACGGUCCAGACUCCUACGGGAGGCAGCAGUGGGGAAUCUUGCGCAAUGGGCGAAAGCCUGACGCAGCAACGCCGCGUGUGUGAUGAAGGUCUUCGGAUCGUAAAGCACUGUCGGGAGGGACGAAUAAGGGCCGGGUGAACAAUCCGGUUCGACGACGGUACCUCCAGAGGAAGCACCGGCUAACUCUGUGCCAGCAGCCGCCGCCGUAA
rnacentral:rRNA from 1 species